GCAAGGGUGGCAUAGUGGAUUGAGUGUUGGACUACGGUUCUAGAGACCUGGGUUUGAAUCCUCGCUCAGCCA